AACCGCCACUGAAUUCACUUUGUGAUUCUAGAACUUUCACGAACGACGUCGCGUGGGAUAGGGGAUGUUGGCCCGGGACUGUUGGGCACUGAGGGGCUGUUGUUGGAGCUGGAUGUGGGGAAAAAGGAGGGGAAGUAGGGGAUGGCGGCCAGCAGCAGAGGGCUCAUCUGGGGACUGUCGUCCGAUGGUAAGGGGAUCACUACAUCAUCCUGGUCCCACACGUGGAAGGCAUUGGAAUGGGACAGAGUCAGAGCCGUGGGCAGACGGGUCGGUCUGAUGCUCGAUAUGUCGUCUUUUUCUGCAUCGUCUUCAUUAGGGCCAAGCACACAGUCUACCAUGCGAUGCAAGGAAAAGACAGUGAUGAGAACAUAUAUUUUAAGGUAGAAAACUUUUAACAGGAGUGUAAAAAUACUGAGAAAUUCUACUUGAAUUUAAAUAUGGAUAUACUGUAAUUUUACUGUAUUAAAAUGCUAAAAUGUUGAGUCAAAA